rnacentral:rRNA from 1 species
UACAGAGGUCUCAAGCGUUGUUCGGAUUCAUUGGGCGUAAAGGGUGCGUAGGUGGCGGGGCAAGUCUGGUGUGAAAUCCCGGGGCUCAACCCUGGAACUGCACUGGAUACUGCUUUGCUAGAGUACUGGAGAGGGAACUGGAAUUUACGGUGUAGCAGUGAAAUGCGUAGAUAUCGUAAGGAAGACCAGUGGCGAAGGCGGGUCUCUGGACAGUUCCUGACGCUGAGGCACGAAGGCCAGGGGAGCAAACGGG